AGAGUUUGAUCCUGGCUCAGGACGAACGCUGGCGGCGUGCUUAACACAUGCAAGUCGAGCGAUGAAGCACCUUCGGGUGUGAAUUAGCGGCGAACGGGUGAGGAACACGUGAAGAAUCUGCCUUCAACUCUGGGAUAACUCCGGGAAACCGGGGCUAAUACCGGAUAUGAGCCUUGAUCGCAUGAUCGGGGCUGGAAAGUUUUUCGGUUGAAGAUGACUUCGCGGCCUAUCAGCUUGUUGGUGAGGUAAUGGCUCACCAAGGCGACGACGGGUAGCCGGCCUGAGAGGGCGACCGGCCACACUGGGACUGAGACACGGCCCAGACUCCUACGGGAGGCAGCAGUGGGGAAUAUUGGGCAAUGGAGGAAACUCUGACCCAGCGACGCCGCGUGAGGGAUGAAGGCCUUCGGGUUGUAAACCUCUUUCAGUAGGGAAGAAGCGAAAGUGACGGUACCUACAGAAGAAGCACCGGCUAACUAUGUGCCAGCAGCCGCGGUAAUACAUAGGGUGCAAGCGUUGUCCGGAAUUAUUGGGCGUAAAGAGCUCGUAGUGGUUCGAUACGUCGGAUGUGAAAAUCAGGGGCUCAACCCCUGACCUGCAUCCGAUACGGUCGAGCUAGAGUUUGGUAGGGGAGACUGGAAUUCCUGGUGUAGCGGUGGAAUGCGCAGAUAUCAGGAGGAACACCGAUGGCGAAGGCAGGUCUCUGGGCCAAUACUGACACUGAGGAGCGAAAGCGUGGGGAGCGAACAGGAUUAGAUACCCUGGUAGUCCACGCCGUAAACGGUGGGCGCUAGUUGUGCGAACCUUCCACGGUUUGUGCGACGCAGCUAACGCAUUAAGCGCCCCGCCUGGGGAGUACGAUCGCAAGAUUAAAACUCAAAGGAAUUGACGGGGCCCCGCACAAGCAGCGGAGCAUGCGGCUUAAUUCGAC
rnacentral:rRNA from 1 species